AGUCAACAUUGUUGCUAAGUGCAGGAUCAGAGGAUAGAAUCAACAUGAUAUAGGUUAGGGAGCACAGAUUUGCCAGAAGUUUUUAUGCCUAGAAAAGAGGGUCUUAUCUAAGUGGGUAUAUAAGAAUCCUUAGGUUUAAUAUUGUAAGUGAGCUCUCCUGGUAAUAUCCUAGGGGGACAGAGUGGGACAUCUGUAUUAACCCUACAAGCAUGUUGCUCUCAUCUAUUUUUCCUGGGGCUAAGAUGUCCUUUACUUCUGUGUGGGGAAAGAGAAAGAUGUUUUCUCAAAUGGUUUCCAGCAGUUAAAUUAUUCCCCCCCUUUUGAUGUCUGCUAAUAGCUUUACUGGAGAACUAUACAAGUGUUGGACUUGGAGGUGUUUUCAAAUCCUGACUGCCACAUGAUAGCUAUGUAACCUUAACCAAAUAAUUCAACUUUUUCCAACUUUCAGUUACUGAAUCUAUAAAAUGAAAGAGGUGGG
rnacentral:lncRNA from 1 species